rnacentral:lncRNA from 1 species
CUCCCAUGUCUCCUUUAUCUGGUAGGAAAGAUAGGUAAAGUUCUUUCAGAUUUGUAAGUAAGGCCACAUAGCAACCAAAGAAUACACAGAAGCUGUUAAAUUCAUCAUACAUAUUUACUUAAUCUCUACAGAAUUGAGUAGAUAAAAUCAGAUUCACGUUAGUGAAAAAUCUCUACAAAAUGUCUUUGAAAAGCAAAACAAGACUGCCUCUUAACAAUUCAUAUCCUCAUGAAAGACGUGGGCUGUAAAAAUAAAGCAGUGUGUUUAGCACAAACUAGAAGAUAUCUGCAUCAUUUUUUCACAGUUAUUUCCAUCUACAGUCUGAAAGAGGUAGAUUUUUUUUCUGCAACACCUGAGAAUUGAAUUGUGAUAACCAGGUGUGUAAUAAAGGCAGUUGCAUACAUAACUAAAAAUACAGGUCUCAAGACCAGAAAAUGUACUUCUACAAGUCUGAGGAUGAAAUGGCCUGAUACCCAAGACCCAACUUGUCGCUACAUUUUGGGGUCUACUGCCACUAAAAAUAUACAUCAAGAUUGCAUGGUAGUGCACCAUAUGCAGUAAGUGAAUUCAACAUUUAAAUCUUUUCUGGGCCAGCAAAGUAGCAUUACAGUGUUCUAGAAUACGGUAGAUAGAGGGCGUGCUACAAAGCCACAACACUGGGCUGGUGAGGUGAUCGAUUUAGGGGGAGGGUAUCCUUCUCUGAGGUCCCAUCUGUUUUUAUUCACAGGGUAAUAGGAGGAGAGAUUCUGCAUGUAUCUCAUACAGAAUCCCUAUCCUCUGAAGAUCUAGCUAAAAAUGCAUGUAAGCCAAAAGCAGCAGGCCAGGACUGUUAAUCACAUUGCUUUAUAAAGCCCUUGAAAAUAUGCAACAGGUCGAAGAUUACAGUCUUCCACACAGGACAAGCACCACAAAUGUGGCAGGCUACACACAUGGCUUAAUAAAAUGUUAAGAGCUGUGUAUCCAGCAGACUUAUGAAAUGUGAUUGUUAGUAAUUAUUUCAAAGUAGAUUAUAUUAUCAAUACACGUUUGUGGGAAAUGAGUCCAGUAUUUCAUUUAGUAACUGAAGGCGGGGAAGGUAUUUAUAAAGAGGCUGUUGAAAGGAAUUUUUUUGUUUCUGACUUUGACAGCAGUAAGAUUACAACUUAUUUUAUGAAUUUAUUCUUCCAUUUUGUGACCCAUUGAAUAACAUGAUCAAUGAUAAAAAAAAAUUUCCUACUCCAGGGACUCUGUUUUCUGUCAUUUGAACAUUUUUCAAUUCUUUGAACCCAGUUUUGACCAUAAAAUGUGACCGUUUACAAAUAAAAUUUUUAGCAGUAACCAAC